rnacentral:rRNA from 1 species
CCUACGGGUGGCAGCAGUGGGGAAUAUUGCGCAAUGGGCGAAAGCCUGACGCAGCGACGCCGCGUGAGGGAUGAAGGUCUUCGGAUCGUUAACCUCUGUCAGCAGGGAAGAACGGUCACUGUGCUAAUCAGCAGUGAAUUGACGGUACCUGCAAAGGAAGCACCGGCUAACUCCGUGCCAGCAGCCGCGGUAAUACGGAGGGUGCGAGCGUUAAUCGGAAUUACUGGGCGUAAAGCGCUCGUAGGCGGUAUGUCAAGUCAAGGGUGAAAUCCCCGCGCUCAACGUGGGAACUGCCUUUUAAACUGGCAGACGGGAGUGUGUGAGAGGAUAGUGGAAUUCGAGGUGUAGGGGUGAAAUCCGUAGAGAGCUGGAGGAACAUCAGUGGCGAAGGCGACUAUCUGGCACAUAACUGACGCUGAGGAGCGAAAGCGUGGGUAGCAAACAGGAUUAGAUACCCGAGUAGUC